rnacentral:lncRNA from 1 species
CAUCUGAUAGAGGUCACGUACUGUGAAAAUCAAUGUAAUAAGAGAGAACAGAAGAUUGAUUUCAAUCGUUGAGUUCAUAUAAAAUAAGUAUUAUUAAAUCAAACCAACCAAUGUUUUGGCAUCUUAAAAUGGCUUAAAUGCUGUUGUAUAUAUGUACUGUAAUUUAUGUGCUUCUAUACAUUUCUCUUCUUGAAAACAAGAGGAAGAAUCCUUCUCGAAUGAAAAACUAAUUUUACAAAAUUGUGAUCCUCCUAAACACCUAUAUCAUGUUCUGUUUAAAUGAGAGGUUAAAUCAACAAAUAGAUCUUCACUGCAUGGAAUGGUUAGUCCACCCAUUGGAUGGUGGAAUCCGUAUUCUUCUUCAGCUCGGCACAACAAAUCUUGAAACAGAUGGUGGUUCAAAUAAGAUAAUGGAAUUACGAAACGCUUCUUUUCACUCUCCCCAACAUACACUGCCAAAUGACCCUUUGGAACUUCAGUUGAUUUUCUUUCGCUGGAUAACGAUCGUCUCAAAAUUUGGCGGAUUGCCAUCUUUUCUUUUCUUUUUUUUUUAUAAUAAAAAAAAAGCUCUUUUAGGAAGUAUUUGAAAUAAGUGAAAGCUGAGAAAGCUAGAGUAUUUUCAGGACUUCUUGCUGUUUGUAAUCAAGAACUGGCUUUGUAUAUAUAGGCUAUAAAGAAAUAAUGUAGAUAAGGGUGGUGAUGCCCUUUGAAACUCGAAGAAACAUACGCAUAUGAAAUCACAUGGAUCUGUCUUUCAAAAUAAUAAUGAUUUCAAGGAAACAGGAAUUUGUAUGAUCGAAAAUGUUGCAUUCCACCAACAUGGCCCUUAAACGACCCUACAAAUAUGAUAACAAAUAGCUAAAGAUUCCUCUUGCAAUUAAUGCAGCAAAUAGAAAAGUCUCUCAUUAUCUGUUUAUUAUUAUGACAUGUACCCUAUCGUUUAAGGCCCGGUUAUCUUAUAUAUUUUGCUACGUAACUAAGUUUGAUUUGUGAUUAUAAUAUAUAGCUAAUUGAUUGACAGACAAUUACAUGUGAUCUUCCAUUUUCGAGUAUGUUUGGCCCGUUAUACGACCCCUAUUUGAAUUGUCCAUUAACGACAAAUUCAACAAGUGAAGUGAAGGCCAUUCAUCUAUUAAUGCAUAUUGGUCAUCUAAGGGACAACACCAUGUGAGUACAUUUGCCUAUGUUUUCCAAGUUUCAUAGAGUACCACAUAUCUAUGUUAACCACUCUCAUCUAAAUUUCUAUGCUAGCCUAUAUAUACAACACAGUUUCUUGACUUACAAACAGCAAUAACUUCUGAAAAAUAUUAUAGUUUUCUUAUCUUUCACACUACUUCAAAGAAACUUAUUGAUUUGAGGUAAACAAGAUUCAGUUUAUACAACAAUGGCCAUCCGUCAAAUACUAAGACGAUCUUUAUCCAACGAAAGAAGAUCAACUGAAGUUCCAAAAGGGCAUUUGGCCGUUUAUGUUGGAGAGAGUGAUUCAAAAGAAGCGUUUCGUAAUCCCAUUGUCAUAUUUGAAUCAUCCUUCGUUUCAAGAAUUGCUAUGCCAAGCCGAAGAAGAAUUCGGAUUCCAUCAUCCGAUGGGUGGCCUCACAAUCCCUUGUAGUGAGGAGUUAUUCAUUGAAAUCACCUCUUACUAGGUCUUAGAGCAAUAGAAUUUUUGUUACCUAGUUCGUAGACGAUUUUAUUUCGUCGGGUACAAAAUGUAUUCCAGACAAAUUAACUGAAAUACUAUUCAUAAUCCGUAUUUUACCGGCUUACAGUGCGACUUUAUUUCAUUUGUAACUUUUAUUCACAAAAACCAAAAUCCUCUCAAACCUUCUUCGAACUCUCGCUAAUUAAACGAGCAAUUUCGACAACAAUUUGAGAUAAAAAUUACUUAUUUACGUAAUUUAAUAUUUUAUUGUUGUUUAGUUUACAAAUUACAUCGAUUAGAAUAAGUUUGUGAUUAAUCGGAGAAAAAAACGUUAUUGCUUCGUGCUUGAAAUGGACUUCUUCAUUCCAUGCUACUUCAUAGCACGAAAUAAUAUAAUUUUCAAAUUUUUGCUUUGUUUCGUGUAGAUUUACACGAAAUUGAAGCAUGUGUUUCGUGUAAAUCUACACGAAUAAGUCCAAAAGGAACAACAUUUAUAAAAAAAGAUGAAAGUCGACAAAAACAUGGGUUUUUUACCUCAAAAUCGGAAUCUGUUUUGGCCAUUUUGAUAAUUGUUGUGUUUUAAUUGAUAUUAUUAUAAAAAAAUUAAUGAUUUGCAAGGUUUUAAAAUUUGGAGCUUGAGAGAAUUUGGAAAAAGAUUAAAGGGUUUCUCAACAAAUGAAUUAAAUCGCACUGCAAUUGGAAAAAAAUGCACUAUGAAUAGUAAACCCCUAAAUUAACGGGAUUUCCUAUAAAAUAUUUUUAGUAAGGGUAAAUGGCAAAUAAGGCCAUGACAAGGGCACUUAAUUAAAAAAAGAUAUCCAACUUUUUUGUCUUCUAAAUAAUUCCGGCUCAUUCAAACUUAUUUGCACCAAAAUUACCCGCAAUUCCUUACAACCCUAAUUCAACUCCAAUUUCAUGAUUUACACCCCAAUUUAGCCAAAUUUCACCAAUUAACAAAUUUUGACAAUUAUUUCAAUUUUGACCCCAAUUUUUACCCGCUACCGCUGGAGACUGUCUGUCAGCCAACGUUGACCGCCGGUCUCCAGCGUCAACUUUAUUUUUCUUAUAUGAAUUUUUGUUCCGGCUGGUCAACCCCCGGUCUCUAGUGUUGACUUUGUUUUCCUAUUUUUCUUGAUUUUUUUAUGAAAUAUUUUUUUCCGGCUUGUCAACCGCCAGUCUCGAGCGUUGAACUUUUUUUUUUCUUGACAAUUUGUUUUUUCAUAAAAAAAAAUAUUUUAAUUAAUAUUACUGUUUUGGCUGCUAAAUUACUGCCUCCAACAAUAAUUUAAUUGUCGGAACCAUUAAUUUAAUUGUCUAAGACAGUAAUAUUACUGUCUCCGGCGUUGACUUUUUGUUUUUUUUUUUUUUUCUUUUUUCAGAAUUUGGUUUUUUCUUAAAAAAAAUAUUUUAAUUAAUAUUACUGUCUUGGCUGCUAAAUUAUUGUCUCCAACAUUAAUUUAACAGUCGGAGACAAUAAUAUUACUACCUGAGACAUUAAUUUUACUGUAUUAAUUAAUUUAUUGUCUUGGCCUGCAAUUUUGCUUUAUUCGACUGUAAUAUUAAUGUCUCAUGGAAUACUAUUACCAUUCGGGACAGUAAUCUUAUUAAUAAAAGUAAGGUUGCUCUGGUGAAACCCUAGGGUUUUUUUCCCGCUUAUUUCCGGGGUACAACUGUCAUUAACUGUCAUUUAUUUAAUAAAUUAUUUUAUGGGGUUUAUUUGGCUUAUUAAAUUCAAUUAUACUGGAUUUUUGGUUGGGCCUUGAUUAUCAGCGUAUUUUCCUCUCACUUCUUAAGAUUACGCAUCCUCUUCAUUCCCUAAUUGAUCGGAUUUAAUUCGAUCCCAAAUAAUACGGCCCUAGAUUAACGAAUUCUCCAAAAUAGGGCUGAAAAUCAUAUCCUUUUGAAAAAAAGGCGGUGACUACUUCUCUAAAAACCCUAGAUAUCAUUUGUUGAAUAGAAUUUUUUUGAAAAGGCACAGGAUUAGAUGGUUGCUUCCACAAAAAAAAAAAAACUAUAUAUCAUUUGUUGAGCUUUAUGUUGAUCUCCAUCCAAAAACCAACCAUCUCCAACCGUAUAUGUUAUGUGUUGUUCUGAUAUUUAUGCUUUUCCCUUUGCUGAUAUUCUUAACAGAGUUAAAAACGUCUACCUAUUUUAUUUAAUUUGUUUUUUUUGUUUUUGUUUAAUCUCCAUCUGCAUAAUCCGAGUUUUGUUCUUUUGCAGUGACUGCGGUGAAUCCUUGGCCGUAUUUUUUCAGGUUUUACCAGGGUACUUUUACGUAUUAUAUAUGGUAAGUUUUUAUUUUAUUAAUUCUCAGUUUUUUUCAGUCAUGAAUUGCUUUUUGAAAAAUAGUCGACAUUUAAAUUUUCGAUGUUUUUUCCUUACAAGUUUCACAAACAUGAAGCAACGUUAUAGCAUUAUUGUUUUUUUGGGAAAAAAAUCGAUAAUUUUAGUAAGAAUUACUAUCGAGUCUCGCUGCAUUUUCUCUCUCUGAAAUAUGUUCACAUCUUUAAAUUGUUCAUUUUAAAAUUUACAUUUCUUUCUUCACAACAAUGGCGCUGACAUCUUUUAAGGAGGUGGAAAUGGGGUUUGAUCUACUUCUUCCAUUAGUGAGUUUUCGAUGGAUCUGUUGGAAAAUGAAUUCUCUUUUCGUUGUUUCUUUGAUUUUUUCUGUUAUAUAUAUCCAAGAAAUUUCGUAUUAUUUUCAUUAUGUGUGACCUGAAUAAUUAAUGUAAGUUUUCCACUACUGAAACAAAAUCUUUUCAUAUAUUAUGGGCAUGAGCAGCACAUUAUACAUUAACUUUCUCUAAUGAAUUUUUAGUGUGUGAGAAAUGAAUAUUGUCUAACAAACGUAGAUCAGUGUAGUAUCUAAUGUCGAUGGAGGAAUAGAAAGAGUGGCAUAUAGUUUAUCAAUGUUGAAAGAAUCGAUCGGUCACAAGAAACUUGAAGUCGCUGAAUGUGAUUUAUCAGGUUUUUUGGUUAAUUUCUGUUUUGUGGAUAUAAAUAAAUAUGCAUCAAUGCAUGCCUCAACAAACUGUUAUUUAUUGAAAUGUUGGACAUAUAUGUUAACUUAUUAAGUAUAUUACACGUCUCAAGAAACAAAGGUUGUGGUACAAGAUGAAUGUAGUGGUUUCUAUUGGUUUUAUUUGUAGGGGAGAAUUAUCAAUCAAAGAUAAUAGAAUAAAAGCCUCUGUUAUUUACAUUACUACGUGAUUCUUUGUUUUAUUUUAUUUUAUUUUCAAUUUGUUUUAUGUUCGAGUGAUUUUUACGUUUUAAUUUGAAAGUAGAAAACAACAUUGAAAAUUGAAUUUUUAUUCUACAUUAAUUUUUUCAAACCCCGUGCAUCGCACGGGUCAGAUUACUAGUAUUAGUAAUAUCACUGUUGGGAAAAUAAUAUUCAUAAUAACAAAAUUCAAAAUUACAAAAUUACAAAUCACAAGGAAGAAAGUUGACCACUUCAACGUUAAGAAAAUCCAAUUUAAUUCUCAAGACCAUCAUUCAACAAUAACAACAUUUAGACUCCAAUGUUCCACCGUCUAAUAAAUCCCGGCUUUCAAUUUCUCAACCAAUUUCGAAAAAUCAAGUUUAGCCGGCUCAACUACGAUAGUAACUCCUUCAGAUUAGGGAUGUGCCACAAUGGGGCGGUAUCCAGGCGAGUUUUGCAAUUCCCGUAUCCGCCCUGUUCUGAAAAUCCCCAUCCUCAUCCCCAUAAAAUUCCCCGGAUUUUAUGAGUUGGUAUCCUCAUAACCGGGUAAAAUCCCCAUGGGUACCCGCGGAUACUCACCCCGUAAAAUCCCCAAAUUAUUAUGAAAUAAAAAUGCAAUCUAUUUAUAAUUUUCAGACUUGGUUCAAUAAACAUACCAACAAAGUGCAACUUUAACUCCAAAUCACAAAAUUCAAUACAUUAUUUAGAGUCAUUAAUAUUUAAAUAAUUUAUUAUUUAUAUUUUAAUAUAAUAAAUAUACAUAAAUAAUAUCAUGCGGGCCACGUCUACUGGACGAGUACCUACAAACCCGUCCCAUCCCUAUACCCGGUCAAUUUUUAUUUUUUAAUUCACAUCCACGCCCCAUACUUUUUGGGCUGGGGCGGGGUGGGUCAAAUUCACAUCCCUACUUACGGUGAACAAAUUUCAAAAUUACGAUUAUCCAAGAAUAAAAGGAACGACGGAUUCGGGUUAAGACCUAAUUACGAAAAUCUCCCUCGUGUUUUCGUAAUUAUGAGAAUUCCCCUCUGACUGGUGUUUGCCAUUUAAAUUCUCAUAAAAUAUGUUUUGUGCAUUUUACCUUUACGUUAUUUGAAAGAGAUAAUGGGUAAAUUACGAGAACCCCUGAUGCAAUGUCUAAUUACCAAGAUCCUCCCAUGUUUGUGUGAUUCUGAAAAUUCCCGCGAGGUAUGUUGUCGUCUAACACAUGCCCCAUACGGUGUUAAUUUUGACGAAACAUAUGAUACAUUGACAAUUACCCUAAUAUCCCACGAAAGAAUAAGUAAAAGUGUUGACUUCUCUAAUCGUUGCAAUUUUUCUCUGUUUUAGGAUUUAUUUAUAUUUAAUGCAUAUUUUUUCUAUUUCAUUUGUUUAAAAUUGAAAUAGUAUUAAUAAGUAAUUAAAAAAUAAUAAAAAUAUCUGUAACCUAAAAAUAAGAAACACAAGAGCAUUUCCAAAAUAUUUAAAAUUGAUUUUAUUGCAAUAAAAAAUGUAAAAACAUAAACAAAACAAACGAAAAAAUUAAUGUUAUAUGUUUAAUUAUGUUUUAUAUAUAUUUUCUAUUAUUAAUAAUUAUAAAAUGAAAAAAAUACAUUAUAGUUUUAAAAUAAAAGAUAACUACAUUUUUAUGAAUAUAUUGUAUUUUACCUCAUAAAAAAUUAAUAUGCUUAUAAUUAUCCCCUCAAGGUCAAAAAUAACAUUUUCGAAAGAACACUAGAAUCAAAGGAUUUCGUCAAAAGUAACAUCGUAAAGAAACUGUGUUAUUUGACUGCAACAUAUCUCAGCGGAUGUUUGUAAAUUACGCAAACAUGAGGAGAUUUUUUGUAAUUAGACCUUACCUCAGGAGGUUUCUCGUAAUUUAUCGUAAAAAAAUAGGGCAAAUAUAUAGGAAAAUUAAUACACGUGCAACGCACGAGCAACUUUCUAGUUUUAUAAAAUUAUCUAAGAUAAGUCAGUUCUAACGAUAUUUUUUUCAAUUUAGCUCUAUUUUUUUUGUAAGAUUGUUGUUUUAUUUCAAACAAAAUUUUGAACUUGAUUUAUGCAGAGGUCGCGCGAACACAGGCCUCCUCUAACCCAAAUUAUGACUUAGGUUUUACGCAGAGGUCGCGCGAACGCAGGCCUCCUCUAACCCAAAUUAUGACUUAGGUUCGACUAGUUAGUCGCUAGCAUAAGCCAUGGACUUUAAUGAUCACCCAUUGACUCCGUCCAGGUAAGUAUGUUUCUUCGACACAUUUCUUACCUUUAUAUAACUCAUUGUCUCACUACUUAAUGUAUUAGUUAUCAAUGUGGGAUAGUAAUAACAGACUUAAUUAACUAACUAUUACUCAAUUGUUCUUUAAUAAUUAGUUCAGGUUUUCUAUUAUUCCACGAUGUCACGGACUUGUUCCCUUAACAAUGGUCCGUGCGGCCUUAGCUCAUUUUUUUCUCUCGCGAUAGCUAAGUCAGCCUCCCCCAAAAUGUGUUGCGAAUGCUAAGUGAUAAAGAACAAGUAAAGAACUUAAGAAGAUAAAAGAGCUUUGUAGGAAAGUACUUGUAUUUAGAUUUAUUGGAUUUGUCUUACAAAUGAAGUUCCUACUCCUAUUUAUACUAGGUCACCUCCUUAAUGGACGGUGGAUCUAUUUGAUCUAAUGGCUAGGAGUUGUUCAUUAGAACACUCCAAAGAAUUCCUACAAAAUAUCUACAAAGGGAGGAUUCUAGAAAGUUUUCAAGAAUCCUAUAAAGGUCUUCUACCAACUCUCUGUACACUUGGGCCAACUUGGGCCAAACCAUAUUUGGGCUAAGUUUUGGACUCCUUAACCUCCUCAACUCAAAGGAAAGUGGUAAAGGGUUGGGCCAAAACCAGCGGACCGUACAACGAGCUAAUAAAAACAUGUAUCAUAAGCAGUAAGCACAAUUGACGAAGCUGCAUUAAGGUUCAAACUCAUCACCGCAUUUCUCCAAGAAAUUCGUAGUUAAGGAUCGUAAAUACUUAGCCACAUCCUUUGCCUUUUCAAAUCUAUCUUUUCGAUGGAUGAUAUAAACAAAACCAAAGAGACCUAAAAAGACUUAAAUAUUAUUGUUUUAACGACAAUAUUAUUGUCUAAGACUGUAAUAUUGCAAUGCAACACAGUAAUAUUACUUUAUAUUAGUGUUAAAAAAUUUAUAUUACAAUUUUCUCAGUACUAUUAUUUUAUGGCUAUCAAACAGCCGGGAACAACGCCGGUUAACGGCUGUAGCGGGACAAAAAUCCAGUAAUUUUUUUUUAGAAACAAAAAAAGAAUCAACGUCAUAAACCGGCGGUGGCUAUACCAAAUUCAGAAGAAAAAAAAUCAAAAAGAAAAUUAAAAAGUAAAUGGAGGUGAUGGUUGAAAUUGGGGUCAAAACUGGGUUAGAGGUCAAAAUUGGCUAAUUGGUGAAAUUUGGGCUAAAUUAGGAUUUCAUAGUAAAAUUUAGGGUGAAUUAGGGUUUCAAAUGAUUAUGUAUAAUUUUUGUAUAGAUGAGAGGGUCUUCCUUAAUAGCAAAUAAGUGUUGGAUGGGUGAUUUGCAAGACAAAAAAUAGAAUAUCUCUUUUUUGAUUAAAUGCUCUGGUCAUAUACUUUUUUACAAUUUGAUUUUCAAACUAUUAGUUACUUGUUUACACUUAACUUCCACUAUAUUGUUGAGCUAUCUUAGAGCAUCUCUUACCGGUUUCACCAUUUUUUCACCAAAUUCAAUUUUUUUUUGUGGUGAAGAAAUUGGUUCAUCUCCCGCCGGUAGCACACAAUUUUACCCUUCCACCAUUUUUUGUGGAAAAUGGUGUUUUUGGUCUCCUCCCAUUCAUUUCACUAAAUUUAAACCAAAUAUAAAAUAAUAAUAUUUUACCGAUUCACCACUUAUAGGAAAUGAUAUUUGGUUGGGUCUCCCAUGGCAUGUCACUAUAUAUGUCCAAAACUAUAGAUUUAAUAUUUAUCAUAAUUUUAGUGUAUUUUAUUUCCUAAAUAUUAAUUAUCGAUUCAAUUGUAAGUAAUAUUUUGAAUUAUAUAAACAAUUACCACUAUCGAUUCAAAACUAUAAAUUUAAUAUUUAUCAUAAUUUUAGUAUAUUUUAUUUCCUAAAUUUUACCACUAAAAUAAUUUCCAUAAUCACAAAUUUUCAUCCAUGAAAUAUGUCUUCCAACCUGCCACUUUGUAACAGUUUAUGUUCGGUCGUCAAUUUCGUCAGUCAACUUGGACGGAAAUAUCACGUGUGGCACACGUGAUGUCGGUCUGGCCGUUAAAAGUCGACGUGGCUUAUACCCUAAGUCGACCUGGCCGAAAAACAUGACGUGGAGUAACACGUCAUUCUCUCCCACUAUUUCAAUUUCAAAAUCCCUAAUUUUUCAUUACCCCUAAUUAUUGAACCCGAAUGCAGAAACCCUACCCCCAAAUUCCAAGUACGAAACCUCAAAUUAAGGUGAAAUUCCGCAACAACAAAAUUGUCCAAUCCUAAAUUCGUAAUUUUUUGGAGCUGGAACAUCACAUUCGAGCAUCACUUUUCGAUUUGUGUAAGUUUCUUCAAAGUUGAUAUCUUUAGACUUCAGUUAUGCGAAUUGAGAGGGGCUAGCUAUUAUUUUAUAUCAGGGAAAAUUACAGUUUAUGUCCCUAAACUUUACCACUAAAACGAUUUAUGUCCUCAAACAUUUCAAUCCACGAAAUAUGUCCUCAAACUUGCCACUUUUGAUCACUUUAUGUUUUGCCGUUAACGUCGGCAGCUAACUUCGACGGAAAUAACAGACGUGGCGUCUAUGUGGCCAUUAAAUGUCGAGUUGUACAACACCCAGUGCCUACUUGGUCAACGAAACGUGAUGUGGAGUGACACGUCAUUCUCCUCCCCUAUUUCUAUUCUAAAAUCCCUAAUUCUCCAUAUCCCCAAUGAACCCAUAAAUCCAAUCCCUAAAACCCCAUUUCGAAUCCUUCAAUUGAGGUGAAAUUCGAAAAUAGCAGAAUCACCUGUGAAUCCAUGGCCAUUUUUCGUGGUGUUUUACCAGCAAAAUAGCCCAAUAAACAAAUGCCGAAUGUUUCCUCGAUUUCACUUUCAUCUUCGGGCUAAAAUAUCAUGUAUUCUUCCACUUCGUUGGGGAAGUCGGGGAGCUAGAAUCCGUUCUUGGGCACUCUAUUCUUGGCGAGAAAAGAAUUAUAUGCAGCUUUGACAAGUGCUGCAUGUUUUUUUUUUCGGAAUUGGCUCAGACAUUUUGUCAAACACCUUCUGGGCAGGUUCUGAAACUGCUGAGUUGGGUAGAAUUUGUGCCAUCUUCACCAUCCUUGUGCUCGCUUCAUCGAGACCACAAGGGGCACAAGCAUCAACAAGUGAAAAAUCACACGACCCCAACGUUCUAGAGACGGAGUUGGGAGAAGAAUUAAAGCUUCCUCUAAAAUCUUUUGCACGUAAAUCUGCUGUUCUUUGAGAAGGGAAAAACUCUUCAAAUGUGAGAAUGUUUUGAUUUUUUAUGGGUUUAUGACUUCGAUUUUAGUAUGGGUUCGAGAAAGAAUGCAAAUUGGAUUGAAAAUUUGGGAAUGGGAAUGAAACGUGAUUUGAGAUUUGGGAGAGUGAGUUAGAGGAAAUUAGUAUAUUCUUGUGCCACGUCAACAUUUAAUAUUCAAUAUAUUAUUCCACGUCACAUUUAACGGCCACAUAGACGUCACGUGAGCCACGCAUGCUAUUUCCGUCGAAGUUAGCUGCCGACGUUAACGGCAGAACAUAAAGUGAUCAAAAGUGACAAGUUUGAGGACAUAUUUCGUGGAUUAAAAUAUUUGAGAACAUAAAUCGUUUUAGCGGUAAAGUUUAAGGACAUAAACUGUAAUUUUCACUUUUAUAUCAAAUUGUAUUUUGUGGUGUAGAAUAUGAGUAAAAUAGCAAAUUCUUGACAUUUUCAUCUCAUAAAAGCGCCCAAAGCAGUAGGACUCUGUGCACAGCACCAUCGGUCGAACAACUCUAGCAAUGUUAGACUUUGGAUUUUUAUUGGUUUAUGACUUCGAAUUUCGUACGAUUCCGAAGAGGAAUGGAAUUUGAUUGGAAAUUUGGGAGUGGAUUUACGCUAUGAAAAAAUAUUUUGGAAUUGGAUGGUUAGGGUUUAUGGGAUGAAGAAAGUGAGAAAUGAGAAUCGAAAUUGGGGAUUUGAGUGAGUUAGAAAUUUGGUAAUUGAGUUUAGAUCAACUAAUUGGUGUGUCAUCGGUAUGUGACUGUCAUAUGUCACUCGUUAUGUUUUUCGGCCAGAUUGACUUAGGGUGUAAGUCACAUCGACUUUAAAUAGCCAGGUCAACAUCAGGUGUGUCAUGCGUGAUAUUUCAGUCCAAGUUGGCUGACGUAGUUGACGGCGUGACAUAAAUUGUUAAAAAGUGGCAAGUUUAAGGACAUAUUGCGUGGAUGAAAAAGUUUGAGGACAUAAAUCGUUUGUGGCAAUGUUUAGGGAUAAAAAUGUAUUAUCAUCUCUUAAACAAUUUUCUUAUGUUUCUAAAAAAAGCAAUUUUCUUACGAUACUAUAAGACAAGUUUGAGAGAUAAUAUUAAUGUUACUCUCUUACGUGGAAUUCAUAUUAAUGGUCUAUGAGAUGCUACUCUUAGUGAAAAACAUUCAUAUGGGUGUGUGCUAUUAUAGGUAGAUCAAUGAUGUAGAAUCACUCAUUGUAUCUCACCGAAUGUAGCAUCUACAAAACCCAUAUUAGUUAAUGUGUGUUAAGCAUUCUGCUUCCGAGAAAAAAUAAUUAAUUUCUCGGUGCUUGGUAAAAUUUAUAUUAAAUUCGUCAGUCAAAAGUUAAUUUGAAAAUCGUUUCACAACCAAAUUAGAUUUAAGUAAAUUUUAAUUAGGGUCUAGUACAAAGAAGCCCAUCAUGGACUACUUAUUAAUAGAGAGGUCCAAACAAAAAACUCUAUUACAAAAUAAUCCAGACAAUGUCCAAAGGUGUGUAAAAGACUGAAAUACCCCUCACAUUUUAAUAUGCUCUUUUUCAUCAUUUAAUUCAAUUUAACUUCAAUGUGACCCCAAAUUUCACCAAUCAUUCAAUUUUGAUCCCUAGCCCAAUUUUGACUACAAUUUCGCCCGUCGUCGUCGUUGUUCGCCCGUCUCCGGCGUUGAUUUCUUUUCUUUAUUUUUUUUUUGAAAUUUAUUGAAAAUUUUCUUUUCUUCAAUAUUUUUUUGCGUUUUUAAACAGUAAUAUUACUACUAUAGUAACAAAGUAAUAUUGUCAUAUUACUCUCUAGCACAAUGAUAUUAACACAACCAAAAUCACUAUUAUCGUGUAAUAGAAUAAUAUUAAUAUGUUGACCGGUUCAACAAAGGCAAACAUAAGAAAAGGCCAAACAAUUAAUAUUGAUGUGGUUGACAAUAAUAUUACUGUCAACCACAGUAAUAUUACUGUAACGAUCGUAAUAUUACCGCCAACCACAGUAAUAUUAUUAUAGUAGACAGUGAUAUUAUUACGUUAAUCGGUCAACAAAUCAAACAAAAUAAAAAAGGCCAAGAAAAAUUAAUAUUAAUAUGGUUGAUAGUAAUAUUAUUGUGUUUACAGUAAUUUUACCGUCAACAACAGUAAUAUUAAUAGGAUGACUGGUCAACAAAUCAAACAAAAUAAAAAAGGCAAAAAAAUAAUAAUAUUGAUGUGGUUGACAGUAGUAUUAUUGUGUUUAUAGUAAUUGUACUAUUAACAAUAGUAUAAAUAUUGUUAACGACAGUAGAAUAAAAAUCAACGUUCAGCGGCGGGCGUAAAAAAAAUGGAUAGGAAAAAAAAUCAACGCCGAAAACCGGUAGGAUAAAAAAAGGGAAAAAAGUCAAAAUUGAUGAAAUUGAAGUUAAAUUGAGUUACAAUUAUGAAUUGGAUUUUAAGGGUUGGGGGUAAUUUUGUCAUAAGCAUUAAUUUUGCAUUUGUUUAUAAUGCAUGUUAAAGUGAUGGACUUAUUGGUAAAAUAGAUAUAGCCCUUGAACAUAAAAUAAUAAAGAUGGUUGGUCAGAAACUUGUGCUAUACAUGCCAAAAGAACAUGUUAGUAAAAAAGGCGAAAGAAUAGUUCGCUAUGUUAGUAAACACAUGAAGAAGAAUUCGAAUUCCAUCAUCCGAUGGGUGGACUCACAAUUCCGUGCACGGAGGAGUUAUUCAUCGACCUCACAUCUCACUUGAGUAGAGCAUAAUAUAUACGCAGAAGAAUUUUUGUUUUCUUUUUGUACAGACAGAAGAUACUUAGCCACUUCGUGGACAUUGCUUUAUUUUUUUUCUACACGAAGACUUUGUCGGGUACAAAUUGUAUUCUGAACAAAUUACUGGUAUUACCUAUAAAUGUUUUUUUUAUAUUCUAAGCCAUUUUGAUAUGUGAAUGCCUUACCUAUCUUGAAGUUCUUAUCAUCAUAAGCUCUUUAUCCUGAUCACAACAAAUGCAUAUGUUGAUAAGUAGAAACACUGCGAAAUGUGAGUUGAGAGUGCAUAUAAAGGAAUGUUAUAUUUUUGCAUGUUUUUAGCACUGAAAGAAUAUAUGGAACUUGGUUAAACAUGGCUAGAUAUAUGGAAAUUUUGAUUUGUGGGAUAUUUGACGUGAUUAAAUAACACAAGUAAAUUCAUUUAUACUACAGCUUUUUUUUAUUGUGCUUCUGAUAUAGGUUACUUAUUAUUGUGAAUUGUUAUACAAUAUAGUAUUAUCGACAGAAGAUUGAUUUGAAUCGUUGAGUUCAUAUAAAAUUAGUAUUAUCAAAUUCAAUCAAACAAUGUUUUGGCAUCUUAAAAGGGCUUAAAGGACAGUAUAUACUGUACUUUUGCGUUUCUAUACAUUUCUUUUCAUGAAACAAGAACUAAUUUUACAAAAUUGUGUUCCUCCUAAACCUAUAUAGAUCAUGUUCUGCUCAAAUGAGAGGUUAAAUCAACAAAUAGAUCUUCACUGCAAGGAAUGGUUAGUCCACCCAUUGGAUGAUGGAAUCCAAAUUCUUCUUCAGCUCGGCACAGCAAAUCUUGAAACGAAGGGUGGUUCAAAUACGAUAAUGGAAUUACGAAACGCUUCUUUUCACUCUCCCCAACAUACACUGCCAAAUGACCCUUUGGAACUUCAGUUGAUUUUCUUUCGCUGGAUAAAGAUCGUCUCAAAAUUUGGCGGAUUGCCAUCUUUUCUUUCUUUUAUAAUUAAAAAAAAAAGCUCCUUUAGGAAGUAUUUUAAAUAAGUGAAAGCUGAGAAAGCUAGAGUAUUUUCAGGACUUCUUGUUGUUUGUAAUCAAGAAUGGUGUUGUAUAUAUAGGCUAUAAAGAUAUAAUGUAGAUAAGUGUGGUAAGCAUAAAUGUGGUGCUGUAUGAAACUCCAAGAAACAUACUCAUAUGAAAUCACAGGGAUUUGUCUUUCAAAAUAAUAAUUUGUGUGGUCGAAAAUGUCGUAUUCCACCAACAACAUGGCCCUUAAAUAAUGAUCCUACAACAUAUGAUAACAAACAGCUCAAGUUGUAUGUAACAACUAACAAUAUACAAAACUCUCUCAUAGUCUGAUUAUUAUGACAUGUACUAGAUCGUUUAAGGCCAUGUUAUCUUAUAUAUUUUGUUACGUAACUAAGUUUGAUGUGUGAUUAUAACAGCUAGCUAAUUGAUUGGCAGACAAUUACAUAUGAUCUUCCAUUUUCGAGUAUGUUUGGCCCGUUAUACGACCCCUAUUCGAAUUGUCUAUUAACCACAAAUUCAAUAAGUGAAGCCCAUUCAUCUAAAUUAUAUAUGCAUAUAAAUGCAUAUGGUCAUCUAAGGGACAUGUUGCCAUAGUUAGUACGAUACAAAGUUUUCGAUCACAAAUUGUUGCCUAAAAAUCUUUAUAAUGAUUCAAAGACAAAACCAUGUGACUACAUUUGCCUAUGUUUUCCAAGUUUCAUCGAGUACCACAUAUCCACUUUCUAUGUUAACCACUCUUAUCUAAAUUUCUCAAGGAUAUAUCAAUUCUUGCUAGCCUAUAUAUACAACACCAUUUCUUGAUUUACAAAUAACAACUUCUGAAAAAUAUUAUAGUUUUUUCAUCUUUCUUAAAUCACAAUACUUCAUAGGAAAUUGUUGAUUUGAACUAAUUAAAAAAGAGUCAGUUUAUACAACAAUGGCAAUCCGUCAAAUGCUAAGACGAUCUUUAUCCAACGAAAGAAGAUCAACUGAAGUUCCAAAAGGGCAUUUGGUCGUUUAUGUUGGGGAGAGUGAUCAAAAGAAGCGCUUUGUUAUUCCAUUGUCGUAUUUGAAUCAUCCUUCGUUUGAAGAAUUGCUAUGCCAAUCCGAAGAAGAAUUCAGAUUUCAUCAUCCGAUGGGUGGCCUCACAAUACCUUGCUGUGAGGAGUUAUUCAUUGAAAUCACCUCAUACUUGAACAGAUAGUGCUGGAUAAAUAUAUAUAUAUAUAUAUAUAUAUAUAUAUAUAUAUAUAUAUAUAUAUAUAUAUAUAUAUAUAUAUAUAUAUAUUAGGUCUUGGAGCAAUAUAAUUUUUCUUAGCUAGUUCAUAGACGAUUUUAUUUUGUCGGAUACAGAAUGUAUCCUGCACAAAUUAAUGGUAUUAUUCUUUACAUUCUUGACAUAUUUUUUAUUCGUUGGAUUUCUACAUUAACUCAUUUUAAGUUUUUGAAUUAAUCUUCGUGCAUCGCACGGGUGAAUUACUAGUUAACUAGUUAAGAUUGAUAAGGGGCAAAAUUGAAAAAAAUACAACUAACUGACAAAUAGGACAAAAAAGCCCCCAAAAAACAAAUAAUAUGGGACAUAUGUAGUACUUAAUAAUUAGUCUUGUUGUUUUACAUAAGUAAAUUUUAUACAUAUUAUACUGUAACUCAAUUAUCAAUAUGAUAAAAAAAAUUAUGAAAAUAAAGAAAAAAAUUUAAGUAAUAGACGUGGAUGAUAAAAGUAUAAUUAGACCGAAGGGAUGUCAAUAUAGUUUACUCAACAUUUGGUGAGAGGUAAAAGUAUAAUUUAAAAAGAAGUAAAUGAUGAAAUGAGUUAAGUCUUAGCUAUUACCCAAAUUCGAAGGAGAUAUGCAUUUUUCAAAUUAGAGGCAGUCUACCUGUAAUUACACAAAAUAUCAGGGGCCUGAUGUAGUAAAUUUACAUUUUUUUUUAAGAAAAUUGUUGGUAAAUUUGACCAGAGUGAUCACAACAUGCGAGACGAAAAAAAAAAAUUUAAUUGUUUCAAAAAUAAUUAUGUAGAGAAAUUCAAGAUAAUGAAAAUUAUCAACUAUCACAACAAAAUAAGAGAAUUUUUACUGGGCGCAUUUUUCAUGCAUGAAUUGAUAUAUAUAACAAUUUGUUUUGAGUCAUUGCUUUUGAUUUUAUAUUCUUAUUGAUAUAAAUUUUAGAAUAAUUUUUUUUCAUUAUACGUUUUGAAACAUAAGUAGAACAUGAAGUUUUGUACUUAUUUAAUUUUAUUUAAAAAUAUUUGUUUUUUUUAAAUAUAGUAUGUAACUUUUAUUAAUUAAUAAUAAGUUAUAUAUUAAGUAAAAUCAUACGUAAUCACACGUGCAACGCACGUGGUGCUUGCUAUUAAUUCCCAAAACUAUUAUUCAAUUACAACAACAAUUAGACUCCUAAUCCUAACGCGAUACUUACCAGAAUACUAACAAAUCCCUGAACCUAAUCAUCGGUCUUCAAUGUUCCAUCGUCUAAUUCUGACCAGUUUGGUUGUGCGUCUAAUUCCGACUUUCAAUUUCUCACCCAAUUCCGAAAAAUCAAGUUUAGCGCACAUGUUCUCCUUCAAAGCACUAGAUACCACGAUCAUUAUGAAUGGAAAUACAUAAUCUAACCAUUAACUAGGUCCACCAUGUGAAACAAAGAACAUGUGUAUCUUCAUUAUGAAUGAAAAAAAAUGCCGGCAAUAUAGGUGGUAAAAUAUUUCUGCUUAGCAUACGUACUAGGUUUGUUGUGUAUGUAUAAUAGAUAAUCAAAUUAGUUGUCUAUAUUAUCUUCCAAAAAAGAAAUUCAAAUACAUAAACCGUUGAAAAAGGACAAGAAUUCGAAGUUAAUUAGGUGCUUAUUUUGAAACUGAUAUCUCCUCCUCCUUUUUAUCCCCACAUGGUGGUGGUACCGUGGUGGGACGACAUUUUUAUUAAGGGGUUAUUUGAGAAAACCCUACGUUAUUUGUUUUAAUGGAGAAAGACCCAAAAUAUUUGUUUCAUUUGAGAAAAGCUCAUCCAAUUUUCAACCAUUAUUUUUUCCAAUUUUGCCCCCACCCACCACAUCAUCAUUGUGUCAUGCACCGACAUCAUCAUCGUCAUCAGCCGUUAUUUUAUUUUUUAUUUUUUUUCAUUUUCUUAACUUUUUUUUUGUAUCAGUUUUAUUAAUCAACUAUAAAGCAUAGUCGAUUAAGGAAAUUAUUUAAUUUAAAAAAGAAAAUUUAUCCAUCAGGUAUAUUAAUCGCCUAUGGACUCCAUAGAUGGAUCUAUCCGUCCGGUCUUGGCGGAGCAGUUUUUACCGGGUUUGACGGGUUCAACGGAUUAAUGGGUCCGACUUGCUCACCUCUAAUAAGCACAAUCGACGAAGCUACAUAAAGGUUCAAAUUCAUCCAAGAAAUUCGUAGUUCAGGACCGUAAAUCCUUAGCCACACCCUUUGCCUUUCAAAUCUAUCUUUUCUAUGGAUGAUAUAAACAAAACAAAAGAGACUUAGAUAAGCCCAUAGUCCCAUAGGCUCAGACUUUAAUGCACAUACGUCCAGAUCAAGGCGAAUUUCAUUGGUCGAAUUCAGUAAUGUAAAAUAGGGCAA